rnacentral:lncRNA from 1 species
AUAGUAUUUUGAGGUCUCUCAGUCCAGAGUGAGAUCAUGAAACUAGACAACAGUCAGGGAUUAGGUUAGAACUGCCUGAUCAUUACCUACUGAACUGGACUCCUCUUGUACACCAUUUUACAUCAUCUUGUCCUCACUUAUUACUCUAGUCACUGCUAUAGUUACUAGGUCUAGAGAGACUUGACCAGUCAUGUAGGUGCAACAUGACAAUGCCUCAGCCUGGGUCAAUUACAUCCUGUUUCCUGCCUGGUGCUUCUCUGAUGGCCUAGUAUC